rfam:Picea glauca, whole genome shotgun sequence.
AGCAUUUUAUUUAGCCAAGGAUGAUUUGCCUACACCUCGUUAUGAGUAUCUGCUGGUUAUGUCGAUCUCGAUUUCAGGUUCUGGGCAAGUUGUCCUCGACUACAUAUUUUGCUCU